UACGUAGGGUGCAAGCGUUGUCCGGAAUUAUUGGGCGUAAAGAGCUUGUAGGCGGUUUGUCGCGUCUGCUGUGAAAUUUCGGGGCUCAACCCCGAACUUGCAGUGGGUACGGGCAGACUAGAGUGUGGUAGGGGAGACUGGAAUUCCUGGUGUAGCGGUGAAAUGCGCAGAUAUCGGGAGGAACACCUAUGGCGAAGGCAGCUCGCUGGGACGUUACUGACGCUGAGACGCGAAAGCGUGGGGAGCAAACAGG
rnacentral:rRNA from 1 species